rfam:Octopus bimaculoides Scaffold289000_contig_1, whole genome shotgun sequence.
CAAACGGCCCUUUUUAGGGCCACUACAUUUUACGUAUAGCUUACUC